GAAAUACUCCCUCCAUCCCGAAUUACUUGUCUUAAAUUUGUCUAGAUACGGAUGUAUCUAGACACGUUUUAGUGUUAGAUACAUAUGUAUCUAGACAAAUCUAAGAGAAGUAAUUUGGGACGGAGGUAAUACUUU
rfam:Triticum urartu cultivar G1812 contig804428, whole genome shotgun sequence.